AUUUGAUUAUACAGGUAGUCCUUGAAUUAUGAUGGGAUUCAAUUUGAACUCUACCAUCAUAAAUCAGAACAGUUAUAAGAUGGAAAUGCUCAGAAUUUGCAGACUACCCAUUAUCAAUAUUCAUUAUUACACUCCACUGUAUUGUAAUAAAUUUAACAAACACAAAAAUACCAAGAAUGAGACAAAAGAAGGUGCUUUUUUGUAUAUCCGACUCUUGUACAGGGACUUGAACACUUAAAAAUCACAUUGACCAGUCAUAGAAUUUAUCAAUGACCAAACAUAAAUCAAGGACUACCUGUAGUUACUAUUUAUUUGCUAAAUUAACG
rnacentral:lncRNA from 1 species